rnacentral:rRNA from 1 species
UACGUAGGGUGCAGGCGUUAAUCGGAAUUACUGGGCGUAAAGCGUGCGCAGGCGGUUUCUUAAGUCAGAUGUGAAAGCCCCGGGCUUAACCUGGGAACUGGCGUUUGAAACUGGGAGACUAGAGUGUGGCGAGAGGGGGGUGGAAUUCCACGUGUAGCAGUGAAAUGCGUAGAUAUGUGGAGGAACACCGAUGGCGAAGGCAGCCCCCUGGGUUAACACUGACGCUCAGGCACGAAAGCGUGGGGAGCAAACAGG